rnacentral:rRNA from 1 species
AUGACGGUACCUGACUAAGAAGCACCGNGCUAAAUACGUGCCAGCAGCCGCGGUAAUACGUAUGGUGCAAGCGUUAUCCGGAUUUACUGGGUGUAAAGGGAGCGUAGGUGGCAAGGCAAGCCAGAAGUGAAAACCCGGGGCUCAACCGCGGGAUUGCUUUUGGAACUGUCAUGCUAGAGUGCAGGAGGGGUGAGCGGAAUUCCUAGUGUAGCGGUGAAAUGCGUAGAUAUUAGGAGGAACACCGGAGGCGAAGGCGGCUCACUGGACUGUAACUGACACUGAGGCUCGAAAGCGUGGGGAGCAGACAGGAUUAGAUACCCUGGUAGUCCACGCGGUAAACGAUGAAUACUAGAUGUCGGGUAGCAAAGCUACUCGGUGUCGUCGCAAACGCAAUAAGUAUUCCACCUGGGGAGUACGUUCGCAAGAAUGAAACUCAAAGGAAUUGACGGGGACCCGCACAAGCGGUGGAGCAUGUGGUUUAAUUCGAAGCAACGCGAAGAACCUUACCUGCUCUUGACAUCCCAUUCAAUAAGGGGUAAUGCCCUUAGCCUUUCGGGGAAUGGAGACAGGUGGUGCAUGGUUGUCGUCAGCUCGUGUCGUGAGAUGUUGGGUUAAGUCCCGCAACGAGCGCAACCCUUAUUGUCAGUAGCCAGCAGGUGAAGCUGGGCACUCUGAUGAGACUGCCGGGGAUAACCCGGAGGAAGGUGGGGAUGACGUCAAAUCAUCAUGCCCCUUAUGAGCAGGGCUACACACGUGCUACAAUGGCGUAAACAGAGGGAAGCGAAGGAGUGAUCUGGAGCAAAUCUCAAAAAUAACGUCUCAGUUCGGAUUGUAGUCUGCAACUCGACUACAUGAAGCUGGAAUCGCUAGUAAUCGCAGAUCAGAAUGCUGCGGUGAAUACGUUCCCGGGUCUUGUACACACCGCCCGUCACACCAUGGGAGUCGGUAAUGCCCGAAGUCAGUGACCUAAUCGAAAGGGAGGAGCUGCCGAAGGCAGGACUGGUAACUGGGGUGAAGUVGKAACAAGGUAA